rnacentral:lncRNA from 1 species
CACUCAAAGAAUAAAGCAGAUUUUUAAAUUAGCACAUGGUUAUUUAAAGCCAUAUUAUUGAGUAGUUUUCUUACCUAGUUUACAACAUACUGCCUGUAGGACAGAUGUGGCUGAAACCUGUUUUUGUAAAACCAGAAAGCUAUGGAUGGUUCUGCAUUUUUUUUUCUCAUUUUUAUAGUUGAUAGAAAAGAACAACUCAUAUGCCCUGAGCUUGUGUGUGAUUUACAACACCUCAAAUCCUUAUUGUUUGUCAUUUAGCACAGAAGAGAUGACUGCUAUACAGAUUCAUUGUUUACCAUCCAGUUUGAAAUCUUGAUACUUUCCUCUUAUAAAAGCAAUUACUUAUAUAUUGUUUUUAUACCUUUUUAAUUAAUUGAAGAAACUUUAUGAUUAUCUCUGAAAUACUAAGAAUAUAUUAUUUAGUGUAGGCUCUUUUACUCUUAACUAUAUAGUUAUCUGUUGUUCCCAAUUUUGUUUUGGUGCUCUUAUCAGCUAUAGUAGGACCUCUUCUAGAAGAAACUCUCUUCUCAGGUUUAUUCUUACCUAUUUCUUCAGCUAUCAGAAACUUAAUAUUGAUCCUAUUUUUUCAUUGGAUUUUGGGUGUCCCAACAUAUUUUGCUCCUUAAAUUAAUAUUUUUCAGAUCCUCAAAAGAAAGAUUCAGAGAUCAAGACUUAGCAUCACGUGACAGAGACAGGAGUUCAAGAGACAGAUCACCCCGUGACCGAGAUCGAAAAGAUAAGAAGCGGUCCUAUGAGAGUGCUAAUGGCAGAUCAGAAGACAGGAGGAGCUCUGAAGAGCGUGAAGCAGGGGAGAUCUAACUAGCUGUGUACAUAUCUUCAAUCCUUAAACUUCCUAUGGCGCUACAUGCUAUUGUUUAGUUUACAGCUGUUCAGAUGACAGUGAACAGUUCUAGACACCAAUCCAGUCAGGCUAGAUGUCUAGUAUCCAAUGAUCUGAACUGAACCUGCUCUCCUUGAUGAAGCCUAAAACUACAUCCAUAGUUUUUUGUGAACCUGAACGUAACAGUUUAUAUUAUGAGACACUGUUGUCUAUUUCUUAGGAGCGAUAGUAAAUGAAUUGUGUUGAUGCCUUGCAGUUUUUGAACAUUUGUAAAAUACUGUUUUCCUUUCUAUUCCAAACAGCAGCAGCUUUAGGAAAUCCUUUUUCUUUAUAAUUCUUCCUUUGACUUUUGUAUCUCCUAAUACCUGUGCCUCCAACUAUAAAAGAGUAAAGGGAAGCAGUAUAACUUCUAAGGUUCUGUUCACAUUGGUUAUUAUUGGUUGAUUAGAGUUGAGCAUUUCUACUGGAUUGUGUGCUGGAGAAAUUUAAAUAUGGGGCUGUUUUGUUUGGGGCCUAUUAGAGUUGGAAGUUGAACAGUUGUUGGAUUACAUACUUUUGCUUUUAUAUUGAAAUUUUGAAAUCAGACUUGUCUUGAUUUUUGUUUUUGAUUUUUUUUGUUGUUUUUGGUUUUGGUUUUUUGUUCUAUUAAACUGCUGCGUUCAGUAUAUUGAGGGGGAUGGGGGCAGGGACUGUUUCAAAAGCACUUGUUUUGUGUGUGCAGGGGGUAUGUGUGCAUAGUUUAAAGACUAUACUCUUAAGUGUAAAAAAAAUAAAAUGAAAAGAAUCACCACCACU